CAUGACCUUAAAUAAAGCAUCCUUAAAUGGAGGUGUGGGAUGGGCACGACCUCACUUAGGUAAGCUUCAAACUAUGAAAAAUAAUUUUAAAAAGCUUAGGCCUCGUCGUGCUGAUACACACCUUUAAUCCUAGCACUCAGAAAUAAGUCAGAGGCAUGCAGAUCUCUGAGUUCAAGGUCAGUCUGAACUACAGAGCAAGCUCCAGGACAGCCAAUCUUGGUGAAGGAAACCAUUGAAAACAGAAAGCUGGUGAAAAUGUAAUUCAAGGAGGGGACCAUGAUCUAGACCUAGCAAGCAGCAGGUCUUGACUUUGGAUUUUCUUGGCUUUGGCUUUAGAGCCAAACUUUGUUCUGGCUUUAGAGCCGAGGAUAGAAGAAAUGGGUUAUGUAUUUCCCCCUGUGCCUAAAGAAAGUCACCCACCAAGCACAGGUAUGUGACAAGGGUACCCCUGUGUGGAAGCCUAGGAAGAUCAUUAUGUAAAACAGUAAAGAUGAAGCCUGGAUUGACUUGGACACCCAAAGAUGCCAAAGAUGCUAGAGCUGUGGGACACCUGCUGAGGAAAUGUUAACAGGGAGGAGAAACAGCGCAAGAGACAGAAGUGUGUUGCAGUCAGCAAAGCUGAAAGGAGUUGAAGAUCUGAAGAACAUCUGGACAUCAGACAUGGAGAUUGAAGUUUGCCCACCUUGGUUUCAUCUUGCUCUGGUCCACUAUUUU
rnacentral:lncRNA from 1 species